UACGUAGGGUGCGAGCGUUGUCCGGAAUUCUUGGGCGUAAAGGGCUCGUAGGCGGUUUGUCGCGUCGGGAGUGAAAUCCACUGGCUUAACUGGUGGCUUGCUUUCGAUACGGGCAGACUGGAGGUAUGCAGGGGAGAACGGAAUUCCUGGUGUAGCGGUGAAAUGCGCAGAUAUCAGGAGGAACACCGGUGGCGAAGGCGGUUCUCUGGGCAUGUCCUGACGCUGAGGAGCGAAAGCGUGGGGAGCGAACAGG
rnacentral:rRNA from 1 species